GUGGGCCCCUGCAUGCUGCUCAUCUACGGCCUUCGAGCCCCUCUGUGGUGUUUCUUGCUCUUGAAGGACUGUUGGUGGAAGGCUGUCCAAGGAAUUGUCCUUCGCGCCCUUUGGAAAGUCUCGAUUCAUCUUCUGGAGACUGUCGCAGUGACCUAGUUAGUUGUUGGCAAAGAGUUUAUUUCCAGCUGAGGUUCUCAGAAGGACUUUAGAGAAAUCACUGUCCUUGGAGAGGCGAGAUCUCAGCCCUUCUGCAUGUUGGGGGUACAAAAUACGAAGCGGGGAUUUCUCCCAAGCACUCUCUGGGGGAUUGAUGAGGCCGAUAAGGUUUGAAAUGCGGAGUGUUGGACCUUAACCUCUUUUCUCCUCUUAAGCCCACAGUGUUUUUAAGGGCUUUUGUCACAAAGCUUUUGAAAGCUGAAGGCCCUCAAUGCAAAGGUAGUGCUUACCAGAUGCUCGGGAUUACAACCUGCCUUUUCGGGAGAAGUGUUUCCGCCAUGUCUAAUUUCACGAAAUGUGAUUUAAAACCUGUUCAUUGAUCUCCUUCUGUGCCAGUACAUGUUACAGUGACGGCGCCCCUAGACAGAUAAUUUGUGCCGGUGUUUUUUACUAAUCUGUAUGUUAAGAAUUCUAGAACCAGCACUUUUAAAUGUUAUACAAUGUAACCAUCUUGUCAUGAAGAUCUGAACACCAAGAUCUCCAUAUCUUGUCUCUGUUGAAAGGAAGAAGGAAGAGGGUGGGGGUGAGGGAACGCUGACGUAUGAAUAAUCAGCAUGGUUGAAGGUGACAUUUGAUACCAACCUGAGAGAAAUUGCUUCAGUACUCGUGUUUAUAGUUGAGAAUGGUUUUCCUCCAUUAUUUCAAAAUACUAAAAUGAAUGGGAAAAUAUUUGAAGGAAUUGGAAUAUUUCCAGAACCUGAAAUGACAUGUUUUAAGGGCAAGGGGAUAACUCCUUCCACCUUUGAAAAGGAGCCAGUGGCAACAGCGUCCAAUUUUCAGUGAUAAACCUAGGUUCCCUACUUAUUUUGUCAGAUAACAUAAUUAGUUAUUUGAACGAUGGAUUCAGUGGUUUCUGACCUAAUAACCUUAGCAAGAAAGCAGAGGUACUUAUUAUCAGAGAACCUCAGACUUCAUAAUUUUAAAACUGGAUGGAACCUUUUAAAAAACAUCUUGACCAUCUUAAAAUUGAGUUUACUGAAACCCAAAGCAAAUGUGAUUUUCUCAAGGUCACACGGGUUUGCCUCCAAGGAUCUCACACUCUUUCCAUUUUACCAUAUUGUCAUUUACACAGAUCAAGGCAGCCCAGACCCCUGGAAGGUCACUGGAACACCAAAUAAUGUCCAUGAGGAAGAAUCCUCCUGUCAGUUUGCUGAAACUUGAUAGCAAAUUCUCAGAUGACUCAAUUGCCUUGCCUCCUCAGGAGGGUGUGUAAACAAUCACUGCAUUAGUAAAGACCCAUCUUGUGUAAGCUGUUAAAAAUCAGGUUUUUGUGUUUCUGUUUUUUUUUUUUAAAGGAGGGGAUUCUUUCCUUGUAUCCAUUGGGAAUGACAGCAAGAAUAAACUGUGAAAGAAUCUGAA